GUCGCGUAGGUGGCUUGUUUACGCCAACGGUUCUGAUCGUGCCCCUCAAAUGGACGGUCCACUUCAAAAAGCUUGUCUCUCCUCGAGAGCAUCUUCUGCAACUUGCCUCUAAGACAAGCUUCUUCCUCAGGGCCACCAACUACACUAAAAAUGGUCUCUCUCUCUCUAGUUGAAGCACACGCCUCUCUCUUUCUCAUCGCGCCCCUCUCUGUGAACCUGAAGCACGCUAGCCCCCUCUCUGCCCUCUGUGCCCUAUCUCUCUGCAACUUUCCCUUUCCCUGCAACUUGCCCCCAAGACAAACUUCUUACUCAGGGCCACCAACUAUACUCAAAACAGUCUCUCUCUCUCUAGUUGAAACACGCGCUUCUCUCCCUCUCAUCACGCCCCUCUCUGUGAUUCUGAAGCACGCCCUCCCCCUCUCUCUCUCUCUCAUCGGAAGAUCGCCCCUCUCUGUGAUUCUGAAGCAUGCCCGCCACCUCGCUCUCUCUCUCACAUCGGAAGCACGCCUCUCUCUGUUAAAUCUGAAGGUUAUUUUCAAAGUCCGUUAUAAGAUUCCACUGGUUCACGCCCCAAAAUCUUCUUCCUCUACUCCUGAAUCCUGAUGAGGACAUAGAAUAUUUUUUGUGUAAGUUGUCUUUCAUUUUCUUUCCCCCUUUGUGAGAUAGAUGACUCUAAGCAGUUAGAGUUGGCAUAAUAGAUCAAGCAGUUAGAGUUGGCUUAGUUGGUUACUAUCAUGUAUCUACCCCAAAGCAAGUAAUGUUCCAAGGGAAUUUCAUCCAUAAUAAUAAUUUCUUUCUUUCUAGUGUCUACAAAUGUUUUAAUGUUGUAUAUUUGAAAUUGAAAUCUUGAUACUCGAUUCUAUUAGGCACUGUCAAUAUACAUCCUAGUUUGCUGCCCCGCUAUCGUGGAGCUGCACCUGUUCAAAGAGCAUUACAAUUUCAGUUUCUGCUUGGUUUUAUAUACAAAAGAUUUUGAUCUAUCUUAUUCUUGUUUCCAAAUUCUAGUGUGUGAGUUCUUUUGUCAGAAAAUUUGAUUUUGGGCCUUGGAGUGUCAAUUGUAUAUACAGUUCGGGCCUUGGAUGCUGGAUUUAAGAAAUUUCAAGUUGAUGAUUGCAGCAAA